rnacentral:lncRNA from 1 species
CUUACUCAUAGUUAUAGUUUCCACUGAAGAUCAGUGUAUGCUUGGUCUUCCUCAAUGCUUCCCAAUUUAAUUCUUUUCAUUUCUGCUAAAGCACUAUGAAUCUGUUAUUUCUGAAUCUUUAUGCAUGCUUUCAUGAGUUUCAUGUGAGCAUGUUAAAUUAUGCAUUAUAGGUUCAUAUCCAUUGCUCAACAUUUCUAACCAAUAUUUGUAUCGUGGGUUUAGGAAAACUUCCAUUUUUGUGUAUAUAAGAUUUCGUGCUAUUCCUGUAGACAGUAUAUAUUUAUAUGGAACAUUUGUAAUUCAUUGAACACUUAAAUUUGUGGUUUCACUGUACCCAUGAAAUCCACGAAAAUUGAUAUCCAACGAAAAAUAAUGAUUCCACAGAAAAAGAAAAUGUGGGGCAUACAUCAAUGAAACAGCAACCCAAUAAAAUAAAAAAAGACCAAAAAAUAUAAACAUCAACCUACAGACUUCAACAUCAGUCAGAUGACCAUACAAUAUAUGAAUCACUAGAAAGAAUGAUUGCAGUAACCAAAAGCCAGCUAGAAGGGUUGAGAAGUUGAGAUCUCAAUAUAUGUUUAACCCUGCCACAUUUUUGCACCUG